GCUGGACAUGGUGGUGUGUGCCUAUAAUCCCAGCAACUCAGGAGGCUGAGGCAGGAGGAUCACAAGUUGAAAGCUAGUCUCAGCAACUUAUCGAGGCCCUAAGCAACUCAGUGAGAUCCUGUCUCAA
rnacentral:sRNA from 1 species